GGUUCGAUGGCGUAGUUGGUUAUCGCAUCUGUCUAACAUCCACUGUUGCACAGAAGGUCCCCAGUUCGAGCCUGGGUCGAAUCA